GACGAACGCUGGCGGCGUGCUUAACACAUGCAAGUCGAACGGGCCUGUCUUCUUUUUUGGGGGUGGGUUGAGUGGCGAACGGGUGAGUAUCACGUGAGUAACCCGCCCUUCGGUCCUGGAUAACCGCUUGAAAGGGCGGCUAAUACGGGGUGGUCCGGUUGGUCCGCAUGGGCUGGUCGGGAUAGAUUCACUGUUUUUGGUGUUUCGGCGGGGGAUGGGCUCGCGGCCUAUCAGCUUGUUGGUGGGGUGAUGGCCUACCAAGGCGGUGACGGGUAGCCGGGUGGAGAGGGUGGGCGGCCACACUGGGACUGGGAUACGGCCCAGACUCCUGCGGGAGGCAGCAGUGGGGGGUAUUGCACAAUGGGCGGAAGCCUGAUGCAGCGACGUCGCGUGAGGGAUGGAGGCCUUCGGGUUGUGAACCUCUGUUUCCGGUGGUGAAGGCCCUGUCCGUGUGGUGGGGUUGACGGUAGCCGGGGAUGAAGCGCCGGCUAACUACGUG
rnacentral:rRNA from 1 species